rnacentral:snRNA from 1 species
AGAUGUCAGGGAAAUCUGGCUGCAAUAUCUGUUACCCCAUUGAUUGCCAGGGUUGAUUCAGCUGAUCUGGCUGGCUAGGCAGGUGUUCCCUUUCUUCCUCACAGUUCCAUGUGUGACUCUCCCUCCUAAGCUGUGUGCUUGGUCUAUUCCCUAAAUAGAGGAGGACCAGUCUUUAGGUCUUCAGUCAAAGGUAUACAAGUAGCUGCAGUCCCCUGUUAGAACCUCCAAAGAAACUCUCAAGUGAUAUUUUCAUGGUCAUAAUAAUGUAAACAAUUGAUUAACCCAACCUUGCCAUGACUAUUGUGG